rnacentral:rRNA from 1 species
CCUACGGGAGGCAGCAGUGGGGGAUAUUGGACAAUGGGGGAAACCCUGAUCCAGCAACGCCGCGUGGGGGAAGAAGUAUUUCGGAAUGUAAAGCUCUGUCGGCAGGGAAGAAAGAAAUGACGUUACCUGACCAAGAAGCCCCGGCUAACUACGUGCCAGCAGCCGCGGUAAUACGUAGGGGGCAAGCGUUAUCAGGAAUUACUGGGUGUAAAGGGGGCGUAGACGGUUAAGUAAGUCUGGAGUGAAAGGCUGGGGCCCAACCCCGGUACUGCUCUGGAAACUAUUGAACUAGAGUGCAGGAGAGGUAAGUGGAAUUCUUAGUGUAGCGGUGAAAUGCGUAGAUAUUAGGAGGAAUACUCGUGGCGAAGGCGGCUUACUGGACUGUAACUGACGUUGAGGCUCGAAAGCGUGGGGAGCAAACAGGAUUAGAUACCCGUGUAGUC